rnacentral:tRNA from 1 species
AGGGGCGUAGCUCAGUUGGCUAGAGUGACGGUCUCCAAAACCGUAGGUCGCAGGUUCGAGCCCUGUCGCCCCUGCCA